rnacentral:rRNA from 1 species
CCUACGGGAGGCAGCAGUGAGGAAUAUUGGUCAAUGGCCGGAAGUCUGAACCAGCCAUUCCGCGUGCAGGAAGACGGCUCUAUGAGUUGUAAACUGCUUUUGUACAAGGGUAAAUCUGCGUACGUGUAUUCCGCUGAUAGUACUGUACGAAUAAGGAUCGGCUAACUCCGUGCCAGCAUCCGCGGUAAUACGGAGGAUCCAAGCGUUAUCCGGAUUUAUUGGGUUUAAAGGGUGCGUAGGCGGGUUUAUAAGUGAGUGGUGAAAUGUCCGAGCUUAACACGGGAACUGCCUCUAAAACUGUUGAACUAGAGAGUAGAUGCGGAAGGCGGAAUGUAAGGUGUAGCGGUGAAAUGCUUAGAGAUCAUACAGAACACCGAUUGCGAAGGAAGCUUACCAAACAAUAUCGGACGUUGAGGCACGAAAGCGUGGGGAGCAAACAGGAUUAGAUACCCUUGUAGUC